CUAGAGAGGGUGUCCCAGGACCAAGCAAGGCAUUACAACCUGCGGAGAAGGCAGUGGAAGCCAAGCGUUGGUGAAGUGGUGUGGGCCAAGGAGCACCAUUCGUCUAAAGCGGCUAAAGGGUUUGCGGCCAAACUAGCUCCGAGGUUCGAUGGACCGUACCAAAUUGUGGAUUUCAUAUCGCCGGUGAUAUGUAAGAUUCGCCACCGGACGAACAAAAAGGAACGCACGGUACAUGUCAGCGACCUAAAACAGCAGGAUCAGGAGGAGAAGGGUGGCAAGAACGUGGAGUCGGAUCCAUCGGAAGGCAUGCAGGAGAACGACAACACCUGAGAACGGACUGGGUUCGGCAGCCGUUCUAGCGUCAGGCCGAGGCGAGAGUCAACGGAUGCAGACUGCGAGUCCGACAACCAUUACAGCGUCAGGCCAAGGCGAGAGUCAACGGCUGCGGACCGCGAGCGAACCAGAGUGUUCCCGCGACAACCACCACCAGGGAAGAGUAAGGCACAAACGACGGGAAGUUGAGAGUGACAGCACCUGAGAACGGACUAGGCUCGGCAACCGUUAUAGCGUCAGGCCAGGGCGAGAGUCAACGGGUGCAGAUUACGCAUCCAGCAACCGUUCUAGCGUCAGGCCAAGGCGAGAGUCAACGGAAACGGACCACGAACGAACCAGAAUCCUGCCUCAACAACCACCGGACCAAGGAACCCACAUACUCCCGAGGAAAGGGGAGGGGCGGUACAGCAGUACCGCAAGGCAUGCCAAAUGAGUCUGCGGGGAAAAAAAGAGUCGAGGAUUACAAGGAUGAAACGUUUUGUUUAUACUCCAACUUACCGCCAAAAUUUUGUUUAUAGUCAUCAAAGCUUAGUAAAGGGGGCGCCUCGAUCACAAGGCGGUCGAUCGGCACUCGAUAGUGUCAAUCGAUGGGCAAAAACAUCAACAUGACGGGUCACACUACGGAAAUACCAGGGUCACCAAGUGGCAACGCCGCCCCAACGGGAGUUAUCGGGAUCUAUCGGUGACAAUCGAUCAACGGCGAAUGGUGUGACCAGAUGACGAGAAGACGAAAAUGUGGAAUGCGGGAAGAAGAGCGUAGAACGAAGAAGCAUCACGGAUGUACAUAUGAGCGGCAAAGUUUGAAACUAAGAACGAGGAAUACAGUCAAAGGAGAUCGGCGCAAAAGUUGGAGGACACACUGCGAAUAAAACGUGUUCUACUACCACGGAUUAGUCUGCCCUUUCUUUCGGGAACCAAUGCGUGGGGUAGCCGUUUAAGGCAACUCCAUGUGACGCACGACGACAGCCUUUUAUU